rnacentral:misc_RNA from 1 species
CCGAGUUAUACAACUCGUCAACCCUGUGAACAUACCUAUAACGUUGCCUCGGCGGGAACAGACGGCCCCGUAACACGGGCCGCCCCCGCCAGAGGACCCCCUAACUCUGUUUCUAUAAUGUUUCUUCUGAGUAAACAAGCAAAUAAAUUA